UUGGAUGAUGAACCAAUCUACCAAAAGCAUAGUUCACCUGAGAUCUUCGGAUUGCUGAACGAAAAACUUGAUCCAUCUUUCACCUUUAUCUGACA
rfam:Penicillium brasilianum genome assembly, contig: SCAF5